CACGUAGGGGGCAAGCGUUGUCCGGAAUCAUUGGGCGUAAAGCGCGUGUAGGCGGUCCGGUAAGUCCGCUCUGAAAGUCAGAGGCUCAACCUCUGAAUGCGGGUGGAUACUGCUGGGCUAGAGUCCGGAAGAGGCGAGUGGAAUUCCUGGUGUAGCGGUGAAAUGCGCAGAUAUCAGGAGGAACACCAAUGGCGAAGGCAGCUCGCUGGGACGUGACUGACGCUGAGACGCGAAAGCGUGGGGAGCAAACAGG
rnacentral:rRNA from 1 species